AUUGAACGCUGGCGGCAGGUUUAACACAUGCAAGUCGAACGAGUGGCGUACGGGUGAGUAAUGUCUGGGAAACUGCCCGUUGGAGGGGGAUAACUACUGGACACGGUAGCUAAUACCGCAUACUCUCCCCUCUGCCCCGUUGGGAUUAGCUAGUAGGUGGGGUAAUGGCUCACCUAGGCGACGAUCCCUAGCUGGUCUGAGAGGAUGACCAGCCAAACUGGAACUGAGACACGGUCCAGACUCCUACGGGAGGCAGCAGUGGGGAAUAUUGCACAAUGGGCGCAAGCCUGAUGCAGCCAUGCCGCGUGUAUGAAGAAGGCCUUCGGGUUGUAAAGUACUUUCAGCGAGGAGGCGUUACUCGCAGAAGAAGCACCGGCUAACUCCGUGCCAGCAGCCGCGGUAAUAC
rnacentral:rRNA from 1 species